UACGUAGGGUCCGAGCGUUGUCCGGAAUUAUUGGGCGUAAAGAGCUCGUAGGUGGCCUGUCGCGUCGGCUGUGAAAACUCGGGGCUCAACUCCGAGCUUGCAGUCGAUACGGGCAGGCUAGAGUUCAGCAGGGGAGGACUGGAAUUCCUGGUGUAGCGGUGAAAUGCGCAGAUAUCAGGAGGAACACCGGCGGCGAAGGCGGGUCUCUGGGCCGAUACUGACACUGAGGAGCGAAAGCGUGGGGAGCGAACAGG
rnacentral:rRNA from 1 species